rnacentral:rRNA from 1 species
CUUAAGGGCUGGUCUUUAUAAGUAAAAAGGCGUAGAGGAUGUGUAGGCCAAGAAAUUAUCUAAGAAGGUAAAUGGAAUUUUUCUGGAGCGGUAAAAUGUGAAGAUAGAAAAUAGAACACCUAAGGUUAAAACUAUUUACCACAAAAUAGGCUGAAACAUGAGAGAGUGGGGAGCAAACAGGAUUAGAGACCCUGGUAGUCCACUCUGUAAACUUUGAAGAUUAUGUUUAGCAGGCCCGAAAGGUAAAAUCUUCCGCCUGAGUAGUACGAUCGCAAGAUUAAAAUUCAAAAACUUUGGCUGUUCACUACUUCGAUUAGAGGAGCGUGUAGUUUAAUUCGAUGGUCCGCGUGUUACCUUACCCCAGCUUGAAUCUAUGACCGGUAUUGCAUGGCCGUCGUAAGUCCCUGUGUUAAACUAAAAGGGACCCAAUCCGGGCGUUUGCCUGAAGGAAGUCAGGUCUUAUGAUCCGAAUGUUGGGGGAUUUAUGCGCUACAUUUUCUUAUAUAAUGAGAGACUUG